rnacentral:rRNA from 1 species
GACGAACGCUGGCGGCGUGCUUAACACAUGCAAGUCGAACGGAAAGGCCUCUUUCGGGGGGUACUCGAGUGGCGAACGGGUGAGUAACACGUGAGUAACCUGCCCUUGACUUUGGGAUAACUUCAGGAAACUGGGGCUAAUACCGGAUAGGAGCUCCUGCUGCAUGGUGGGGGUUGGAAAGUUUCGGCGGUUGGGGAUGGACUCGCGGCUUAUCAGCUUGUUGGUGGGGUAGUGGUUUACCAAGGCUUUGACGGGUAGCCGGCCUGAGAGGGUGACCGGCCACAUUGGGACUGAGAUGCGGCCCAGACUCCUACGGGAGGCAGCAGUGGGGAAUAUUGCACAAUGGGUGGAAGCCUGAUGCAGCAACGCCGUGUGCGGGAUGACGGCCUUCGGGUUGUAAACCGCUUUCGCUCAUGACGAAGCUUUGUGUGACGGUAGUGGGUAAAGAAGCACCGGCUAACUACGUG